GACGAACCACACGAACGUUAUUCGGAAUUACUGGGCUUAAAGGGUGCGUAGGCGGCGCGGUAAGUAGGGGUGUGAAAUCCCUCGGCUCAACCGAGGAACUGCGCUCUAAACUACCGUGCUCGAGGGAGGUAGAGGUGAGCGGAACUUAGGGUGGAGCGGUGAAAUGCGUUGAUAUCCUAAGGAACACCGGUGGCGAAAGCGGCUCACUGGAUCUCUUCUGACGCUGAGGCACGAAAGCUAGGGUAGCGAACAGG
rnacentral:rRNA from 1 species